UGGCUCUCGCAUCGAUGAAGAACGCAGCGAAAUGCGAUAAGUAAUGUGAAUUGCAGAAUUCAGUGAAUCAUCGAAUCUUUGAACGCAACUUGCGCCCCUUGGUAUUCCGAGGGGCACGCCUGUUUGAGUGUCGUGAAUUCCUCCACCCUUUCACUUUGUUGUGAAAGGGAUGGGAUUUGGGGGCUUUGCGGGAUCUCUCUAGAGUCCGCUCCCCUUGAAUGCAUUAGCGAAAAGACCCUCGUGGCCUCGGUGUGAUAAUUAUCUACGCCGUCCGGACGCGAAUAGAUUUUUGCUUCCAAUCGUCUUCGGACAAAACACAUCUGAUACUUGACCUCAAAUCAGGCGGGACUACCCGCUGA
rnacentral:misc_RNA from 1 species